rnacentral:rRNA from 1 species
AACGAACGCUGGCGGCAUGCCUAAUACAUGCAAGUCGAACGAGAUCUUCGGAUCUAGUGGCGCACGGGUGCGUAACGCGUGGGAAUCUGCCCUUGGGUUCGGAAUAACUUCUGGAAACGGAAGCUAAUACCGGAUGAUGACGUAAGUCCAAAGAUUUAUCGCCCAAGGAUGAGCCCGCGUAGGAUCAGCUAGUUGGUGGGGUAAAGGCCCACCAAGGCGACGAUCCUUAGCUGGUCUGAGAGGAUGAUCAGCCACACUGGGACUGAGACACGGCCCAGACUCCUACGGGAGGCAGCAGUAGGGAAUAUUGGACAAUGGGCGAAAGCCUGAUCCAGCAAUGCCGCGUGAGUGAUGAAGGCCUUAGGGUUGUAAAGCUCUUUUACCCGGGAUGAUAAUGACAGUACCGGGAGAAUAAGCUCCGGCUAACUCCGUG